rnacentral:rRNA from 1 species
UUAACAGGAUUAGAUACCCUGGUAGUCCACGCCGUAAACGAUGUCGACUUGGAGGUUGUGCCCUUGAGGCGUGGCUUCCGGAGCUAACGCGUUAAGUCGACCGCCUGGGGAGUACGGCCGCAAGGUUAAAACUCAAAUGAAUUGACGGGGGCCCGCACAAGCGGUGGAGCAUGUGGUUUAAUUCGAUGCAACGCGAAGAACCUUACCUGGUCUUGACAUCCACGGAAGUUUUCAGAGAUGAGAAUGUGCCUUCGGGAACCGUGAGACAGGUGCUGCAUGGCUGUCGUCAGCUCGUGUUGUGAAAUGUUGGGUUAAGUCCCGCAACGAGCGCAACCCUUAUCCUUUGUUGCCAGCGGUCCGGCCGGGAACUCAAAGGAGACUGCCAGUGAUAAACUGGAGGAAGGUGGGGAUGACGUA